UGAACGCUAGCGGCAGGCCUAAUACAUGCAAGUCGUACGGUAACAUGAGUAGCAAUACUUGAUGACGAGUGGCGCACGGGUGCGUAACGCGUGUGCAAUCUACCUUUAACCGGUGAAUAGCCCGAAGAAAUUCGGAUUAAUACACCAUAGUAUUGUUUGUUGGCAUCAACAGACAAUUAAAACUCCGGUGGUUAAAGAUGAGCAUGCGUGACAUUAGCUAGUUGGUGAGGUAAUGGCUCACCAAGGCUACGAUGUCUAGGGGAUCUGGGAGGAUUAACCCCCACACUGGUACUGAGACACGGACCAGACUCCUACGGGAGGCAGCAGUAAGGAAUAUUGGACAAUGGUCGCAAGACUGAUCCAGCCAUGCCGCGUGAAGGAUGAAGGCCCUAUGGGUUGUAAACUUCUUUUGUAUGGGAAAAAACCCUUCUACGUGUAGAAGGCUGAUGGUACCAUAAGAAUAAGGAUCGGCUAACUCCGU
rnacentral:rRNA from 1 species